rnacentral:rRNA from 1 species
CCUACGGGUGGCAGCAGUGGGGAAUAUUGCACAAUGGGCGCAAGCCUGAUGCAGCCAUGCCGCGUGUGUGAAGAAGGCCUUCGGGUUGUAAAGCACUUUCAGCGGGGAGGAAGGCGGUGAGGUUAAUAACCUCAUCGAUUGACGUUACCCGCAGAAGAAGCACCGGCUAACUCCGUGCCAGCAGCCGCGGUAAUACGGAGGGUGCAAGCGUUAAUCGGAAUUACUGGGCGUAAAGCGCACGCAGGCGGUCUGUCAAGUCGGAUGUGAAAUCCCCGGGCUCAACCUGGGAACUGCAUUCGAAACUGGCAGCUGAGGGUCUUGUAGAGGGGGGUAGAAUUCCAGGUGUAGCGGUGAAAUGCGUAGAGAUCUGGAGGAAAACCGGGGGCGAAGGCGGCCCCCUGGACAAAGACUGACGUUCAGGUGCGAAAGCGUGGGGAGCAAACAGGAUUAGAACCCUAGUAGUC